UACAGGGGGGGCAAGCGUUGUUCGGAAUUACUGGGCGUAAAGGGCCAGUAGGCGGCCAACUAAGUCACACGUGAAAUCCCCGGGCUUAACCCGGGAACUGCGUGUGAUACUGGAUGGCUUGAAUUCGGGAGAGGGAUGCAGAAUUCCAGGUGUAGCGGUGAAAUGCGUAGAUAUCUGGAGGAACACCGGUGGCGAAGGCGGCAUCCUGGACCGAUACUGACGCUGAGGAGCGAAAGCCAGGGGAGCAAACGGG
rnacentral:rRNA from 1 species